GGCGGCAGACUGUCGCCCUUAUCGGCAUCAAACAAUAGUAUGCUGCCACCUAAUGAUAUUUCUACCUGGACACAAGUACGUUCGUAUCUUUCCAAAAGGACAGUUCUUGAGUUCAUGAAAUCGUUUCAGUUCGAAUUUCCUCAUCAAAGAUGAUUUUCUGCGAAUUGUGUGUUUUUCUGGUAGUCGAGUAUUUUUUGGUGUCAACAAUUGAACAAAAAAGUGAUACAUAUGUUUAACAUGUUUCGUAUUUUUCUAUUAUUAACGUAUUUUGACAUAUGCACAAACUCAUUGUCGGAAAGUAGCAGAAGUUUUGGACCAAAGCAGGUGAUUUGAAGGCUCUAAUGGUUUUGCCUAAGAUGCUGCCAAUGUCAAAUUUUACGAAAACGGGAACCAAAAGAUCCCAAGUUGAGAAAAGUAUUUUAAAUGGGACAGCAGGUUGUGAGAUUUCGGAAAAAUAUCUCAUACGAUUUAAUAAGAUCGAAAUAAUCCUGGAUGACUUUAUUGAAAUACUUUCGAAGAAAAAUCAAGGCAGGAUCCGGUCUUAAAUUGUAUGCAUUUAAUCAGUGGGUGAAAAUAA